UUGAUCAUGGCUCAGGAUGAACGCUGGCGGCGUGCUUAACACAUGCAAGUCGAACGAACCUUCGGGUUAGUGGCGGACGGGUGAGUAACGCGUGAGAAUCUGCCCUCAGGAGGGGGAUAACGGUUGGAAACGACCGCUAAUACCCCAUAUGCCUACUGGUGAAAUGAAUUUCGCCUGAGGAUGAGCUCGCGUCUGAUUAGCUAGUUGGUGAGGUAAUGGCUCACCAAGGCUUCGAUCAGUAGCUGGUCUGAGAGGAUGAUCAGCCACACUGGGACUGAGACACGGCCCAGACUCCUACGGGAGGCAGCAGUGGGGAAUUUUCCGCAAUGGGCGAAAGCCUGACGGAGCAACGCCGCGUGAGGGACGAAGGCCUCUGGGCUGUAAACCUCUUUUCUCAAGGAAGAAGAUAUGACGGUACUUGAGGAAUAAGCCACGGCUAAUUCCGUGCCAGCAGCCGCGGUAAUACGGGAGUGGCAAGCGUUAUCCGGAAUUAUUGGGCGUAAAGCGUCCGCAGGCGGCUUUUCAAGUCUGCUGUUAAAGCGUGGAGCUUAACUCCAUCAUGGCAGUGGAAACUGAAAGGCUUGAGUAUGGUAGGGGCAGAGGGAAUUCCCGGUGUAGCGGUGAAAUGCGUAGAUAUCGGGAAGAACACCAGUGGCGAAGGCGCUCUGCUGGGCCAUUACUGACGCUCAUGGACGAAAGCCAGGGGAGCGAAAGGGAUUAGAUACCCCUGUAGUCCUGGCCGUAAACGAUGAACACUAGGUGUCGGGGGAAUCGACCCCUUCGGUGUCGUAGCUAACGCGUUAAGUGUUCCGCCUGGGGAGUACGCACGCAAGUGUGAAACUCAAAGGAAUUGACAGGGGCCCGCACAAGCGGUGGAGUAUGUGGUUUAAUUCGAUGCAACGCGAAGAACCUUACCAGGGUUUGACAUCCUGCGAACCUCUUAGAAAUUUGAGGGUGCCUUCGGGAAUGCAGUGACAGGUGGUGCAUGGCUGUCGUCAGCUCGUGUCGUGAGAUGUUGGGUUAAGUCCCGCAACGAGCGCAACCCACGUUUUUAGUUGCCAGCAUUUAGUUGGGCACUCUAGAAAGACCGCCGGUGAUAAACCGGAGGAAGGUGUGGAUGACGUCAAGUCAUCAUGCCCCUUACACCCUGGGCUACACACGUACUACAAUGCUACGGACAAAGGGCAGCAAACUCGCGAGAGCUAGCAAAUCCCAUAAACCGUGGCUCAGUUCAGAUCGUAGGCUGCAACUCGCCUACGUGAAGUAGGAAUCGCUAGUAAUCGCAGGUCAGCAUACUGCGGUGAAUACGUUCCCGGGCCUUGUACACACCGCCCGUCACACCAUGGAAGUUGGCCAUGCCCGAAGUCGUUACUCCAACCCUUGUGGAGGAGGACGCCGAAGGUGGGGCUAAUGACUGGGGUGAAGUCGUAACAAGGUAACCGUA
rnacentral:rRNA from 1 species